rnacentral:lncRNA from 1 species
GGAAGCUUUCUCGAGUUUACAGCAGAAAUAAAGCCAAAAAAACAAGGACAGGAAGGCUUCUCUAGACCAGCAACUGGAGCAAAGCACAGAAAUGCAUGCUUGUCAUUGAAGUGAGAGGAGAAGAAGGAAGAGGAGAAUGAUAAGAUCGUCGCCUGCAGCACUUUGUUUAUGAGAACAUCCUUCCAGUGAUAUAUGUCUGCACCAGGUCCCACCUAGAGAGUUGUGAUGGGCCCCUCUUUUUCUACUACUUCCAAAGACUGUGGAGUUCCAGAUUAUCUUCAUUAUCUGUAAGAAGCCAUUGAAAAGGGAAAUUCUGAAGCAUCAUAGACUAAUAAAGACCAGCCCUGGGCAGAUGACA